rnacentral:rRNA from 1 species
GUCGAGGAUCUUCGGCAAUGGGCGCAAGCCUGACCGAGCGACGCCGCGUGUGUGAUGAAGGCCUUCGGGUUGUAAAGCACUGUCGGGGGGAAGAAAGGGGCAACCUUGAUCGACCCCCGGAGGAAGCACGGGCUAAGUUCGUGCCAGCAGCCGCGGUAAGACGAACCGUGCGAACGUUGUUCGGAAUCACUGGGCUUAAAGGGCGCGUAGGCGGGGGCACAAGUCCGGGGUGAAAUCCCACGGCUCAACCGUGGAAGUGCCUUGGAUACUGUGUUUCUUGAGGAAGGUAGGGGCGUGCGGAACUUCCGGUGGAGCGGUGAAAUGCGUAGAUAUCGGAAGGAACACCGGUGGCGAAAGCGGCGCGCUGGACCUUUACUGACGCUGAGGCGCGAAAGCCAGGGGAGCAAACGGGAUUAGAAACCCCAGUAGUCC